CAUUACCAAGAUUCAGGGUCUGCAUUCCUCUUGCUGUGGUGAGAGAGAAUUUUGAUGAGGUACAAGGAGGUAUUUUGUGUCUUUGUAUUCUUACUGUCAAAGCAGAGGGCACAAGUGACCGACAGCAAUUUGAAGUUAACUCAGACAAAAACGCUUAGAGGAAUUCCCCGGGAAUGGAGUCCUGAAACUAGGGGCCAUCACCAAAAACACCAAAACGAACCACAGAGAAGAUGCAAAUGUAGCAGGUCAGUUGGGGACUGUGGUGAACUGAGUGAGGGUGGCCCAAUUUCAGUGGAUAGAACCAUCAUUCACCCCCAGCCAAGUCUUUGUAUGCAGGAAUGUGGCCUGGUGUUUAUGAAUUUUCCAAAUUUUUAGGGAAACCAGACAAAUUUUAUUUUUUAAUUAAUUAAUUUAUUAAUGACAGAGUCUUGC